ensembl:lncRNA
GUGUUUUAAUUGAAUUGGUUAAUGAACACAUAGGAACUAAAUUCCUCUAACAAAGGUUCUCCCAUCUCCACAGGGAAACUCUGGAGCUCUGUCAGAGUGACCAUUGGGUUCUUGGUCACCUCCCUGACCAAGGCCCUUCUCCCUUGAUUGCUCAGUUUGGCUGUGAGGCUAGCUCUAGGAAGAGUCUUGGUGGUUCCAAACGUGACCUUGUUUUUGCACAGUCAACUGUGGGACCUUAUAUAGACAGGAGAAAGACCUGCAGAGGGAAGCCACCCAACCCUGAAGGACAGAGGGAGAGACAGGAGAAAGACCUGCAGAGGGAAGCCCCCCAACCCUGAAGGACAGAGGGAGAGACAGGAGAAAGACCUGCAGAGGGAAGCCCCCCAACCCUGAAGGACAGAGGGAGAGACAGGAGAAAGCCCUGCAGAGGGAAGCCCCCCAACCCUGAAGGACAGAGGGAGAGACAGGAGAAAGACCUGCAGAGGGAAGCCCCCCCGACCCUGAAGGACAGAGGGAGAGACAGGAGAAAGACCUGCAGAGGGAAGCCCCCCAACCCUGAAGGACAGAGGGAGAGACAGGAGAAAGACCUGCAGAGGGAAGCCCCCCAACCCUGAAGGACAGAGGGAGAGACAGGAGAAUGCCCUGCAGAGGGAAGACCCCCAACCCUGAAGGACAGAGGGAGAGACAGGAGAAAGACCUGCAGAGGGAAGCCCCCCAACCCUAAAGGACAGAGGGAGAGACAGGAGAAAGCCCUGCAGAGGGAAGCCCCCCGACCCUGAAGGACAGAGGGAGAAACAGGAGAAAGCCCUGCAGAGGGAAGCCCCCCAACCCUGAAGGACAGAGGGAGACACAGGAGAAAGACCUGCAGAAGAGUAUGCAGUGUUUGGACCCUGCAAGAGCGAGGACAGGACCAACCCAACUGGUCCCCCUACAGCUCAUCUCUGCCAUGAAGCCCCAGACUGGGACCCAGCUGGCCCCCCUACAGCUCAUCUCUGCCCUGAAGCUCCAGACUGGGACCCAGCUGGUCCCCCUACAGCUCAUCUCUGCCCUGAAGCUCCAGACUGCGACCCAGCUGGUCCCCCUACAGCUCAUCUCUGCCCUGAAGCUCCAGACUGGGACCCAGCUGGUCCCCCUACAGCUCAUCUCUGCCCUGAAGCUCCAGACUGGGACCCAGCUGGUCCCCCUACAGCUCAUCCCUGUCCUGAAGCCCCAGACUGGGACCCAGCUAGUCCCCCUACAGCUCAUCUCUGUCCUGAAGCCCCAGACAUUCACAGAGGAGAUGAGACGGCAGGCAGCCCUGAACACCUUCAUCGGGAAGAAGGCUACUCAACUGGACAUUAACACACUGGAGGAUAAACUACACACCUCUACAACAGGGUGCAACACAGCACACACCUCUACAACAGGGUACAACACAGCACACACCUCUACAACAGGGUACAACACAGCACACACCUCUACAACAGGGUGCAACACAACACACACCUCUACAACAGGGUGCAACACUGCACACACCUCUACAACAGGGUGCAACACAGCACACACCUCUACAACAGGGUACAACACAGCACACACCUCUACAACAGGGUACAACACAGCACACACCUCUACAACAGGGUACAACACAGCACACACCUCUACAACAGGGUACAACACACCUCUACAACAGGGUGCAACACAGCACACACCUCUACAACAGGGCGCAACACAGCACACACCUCUACAACAGGGUACAACACAGCACACACCUCUACAACAGGGUACAACACAGCACACACCUCUACAACAGGGUACAACACAGCACACACCUCUACAACAGGGUACAACACACCUCUACAACAGGGUGCAACACAGCACACACCUCUACAACAGGGUACAACACAGCACACACCUCUACAACAGGGUACAACACAGCACACACCUCUACAACAGGGUACAACACAGCACACACCUCUACAACAGGGUACAACACAACACACACCUCUACGACAGGGUAAAACACAACACACACCUCUGCAACAGGGUACAACACAACACCACUACAACAGGGUACAACACCACACCUCUACAACAGGGUACAACACAACACACACCUCUGUAA